CCUACGGGUGGCUGCAGUGGGGAAUAUUGGACAAUGGGGGGAACCCUGAUCCAGCCAUGCCGCGUGUGCGAAGAAGGCCCUCGGGUUGUAAAGCACUUUCAGUGAGGAAGAACGCCUGGUGGUUAAUACCCAUCAGGAAAGACAUCACUCACAGAAGAAGCACCGGCUAACUCCGUGCCAGCAGCCGCGGUAAUACGGAGGGUGCGAGCGUUAAUCGGAAUUACUGGGCGUAAAGCGCGCGUAGGUGGCUUGAUAAGCCGGUUGUGAAAGCCCCGGGCUCAACCUGGGAACGGCAUCCGGAACUGUCAAGCUAGAGUGCAGGAGAGGAAGGUAGAAUUCCCGGUGUAGCGGUGAAAUGCGUAGAGAUCGGGAGGAAUACCAGUGGCGAAGGCGGCCUUCUGGACUGACACUGACACUGAGGUGCGAAAGCGUGGGUAGCAAACAGGAUUAGAUACCCGGGUAGUC
rnacentral:rRNA from 1 species